CAGGCUUCCAAAUGCUUCUCAUUGUGAGGUGUGAUGGAGGUGGGAUGUGAUGGACCUGGGAGUGCUGCCAGCAAAAGGUGAUGCUUGCAUGGAGUUUGAGAAACAAGAUAAAUGUGCCUGAGGAAGGGACUGUGCUGUGUCUGCGGCCUCACUGGGUGGAGAGGCAACUCUGAAACUAGCACAUGAAGAAUUGAGAAGGUGGAAGAUUGGAUGAAUGGGUUACACUUGCAUGAACAGCAUUUUAAAAGGCAAUGUGUUUUUACCUCACUGGUAAUGUUUGCCUGAUGUUGAUUGGAGUGAAUAAAAAUCUGUAAACUCUA